GAAAGAAAGAAAAGAAAAGGAAAGAAAGAGAGAAAGGUAGGUCUCUGGUGUCUUGAGGGGGGAAACCAUCACUGUUUGUGUUUUAAGAAGGACUGGAAGUUGGGGUAACCAUAACUGGUUUCUUACUAGGGGUCUUUUAAAUGUGUGCUGUCACCUCUUGGCCAUUGGAUCUGUCAUUGAGUAUCUCUGUCUUCUGUAGCUUGGAAUUGCCGUUGGAUUCUUGGUCCCUCCUGUCUUGGUGCCUGACAUCGACAACCAGGCUGAGCUGGCCUACCUCAUCAGCAUCAUGUCUUACAUGACUGCAGGGGUGGCCACUCUGCUUUUCAUCCUUGUCAUGAUUGUGUUCAAGGGGAUCCUAAACAUGCCCCCAGCAGGGCCCAGGUCCCCUCCUGCUUUGUGUUUAAGUUCCAUCAUCUGACUCUUGAAGAACCUCAACUUUGUGCUGCUCCUCAGCUAGGGUCUGAAUGCUGGUGCUUUUUACUCCUUGUCCACUCUGCUGAAUCGCAUGGUGAUCUUGCACUACCCGCUUCUUUAUGACUGGCUACCUCCCUCUGGGAUUUGAGUUUGCCGUGGAGCUGACAUACCCAGAAUCAGAAGGCAUGUCGUCCGGCCUCCUCAACGUGUCUGCCCAGAUAUUCGGGAUCAUCUUCACCAUCUCCCAGGGCCAGAUCAUCGACACCUACGGAACCAUGCCUGGCAACAUCUUCCUGUGUGUGUUCCUCACGCUUGGAGUGGCCCUCACUGGUGAGCUGGGGCCUCAGGGCCCGGUGACGCUCUGACUGCUCACGGCUUUAGGCUGCUGGCAGCUUGGGACCCAGUGUCCUGAUUGGUCCUACAGCUCAGGGGUACACAUGCAGUGGGACAGAGGGGAGGGCUUGUGAGCAAGUCUGUUUUGGAGGCAGCAGCAUAUCUUAGUGGAAGGAGCCUGGGUUGUGGCCCGAGAAACCCUUGUUAGAAUCCUGGACUGUGACACUGACCUCCAGAGCUGUUUGACCUUGGACUAGUGCACCAACUUGUGGGAGCCUCACUUUCCUAAUCUUUUGGAUGGGAUUGCUGUGAGGUUUGGAGCAACGUGUGCAGACUCCCUGCAGAUGCCAGUGGUCUGGGAAGGAGGCCUGUGUCCUCACUGGCUUCUGCCUGUCAGGGACAGCAGGGACCUGCAGGCUCUCUCAGGUUGUCUGACGCAACCCCCACUUCCGUGGAAGAUCUGAAGGGGGUGGGGUACCUGUGAGCCUUAGGAGGACAGGGCUCCCCCUCCUGGAUGCACUUGACCCCUGGUCUGCUUGGUAACUGUCUCUGUUGCCCUUCCUAUCUGCACUUUUGCUUGCUGUGGAUACUUUAUCAGGUCAUUAGUCUCUUACAACAUGCUUUUAGUGACUACCUGGUGUUCUGUUGACUACACAUGGAUAAACAGGAUUUGCUCAACAGUUCUCCUGUUGGCGAACAUUGAAGUUGUUUCUUACGGUUGUUCUAAACGACACUGUGAUUAACGUCCUGGAAGCUGAGUCUUUGGCAUGUUCUCAGAAGCUCCAGGAGGAAGAGGAGAGCAAGACCAGCAAAGCCCCCACCCCUGUGUCCGAGGAGCAUCUCUGAGAGAGAAAGGUGGUGGGACUCGGGCAACACCUGCUGCCACCUCCAGCCAGCCCCGCCCUCCUGGCCAGCACUGCGGGCUCCACUGGAGCAGCUUCUGGAGGGAACCUCGGGAAUAACUGUGGCUUGCACGGCAGCCCCUCUGCCUCAGGGACCCCCCGCCCAGAGCUUGCGUGUCCACUUGGGGACAGUACCCCUUUCACCCAGUGCAGAUGGGCGUCCCACCCCUCCUCCUUGGCUUCUGGGAGCUGGUGCUGGGAGAGGCCAAGAGAACCCAGGGCCAGUCCUGGCCUCCCGCCUUGCCUUCCCCUGGACGGGCUCUCGGGGAAAGCCUGCACAGUUAUCACGGAGAGAAAGCUUAUUCGGGAGAUGAACAUUUUCUAGUGUCUUAAGACUCUUAGGCGCCCCAUUCUAAGGAGCGGCAGCUGCCCCGGGCAGGGGUCCCUCUUGGACCAUCAGACUGGCUGCUCAAGUUUUGUUGUAGUCAGGAGGGGAAGGGCCCUCCCAGAACAAAGGGAAGGUAACACGCAACACCAACAUCUGUGCAUGCAUGAGCAGUUCUGCAACAGUGCAGCAUUGUGGGGAGCCGAGAAGAUAAAAGGAGCCGAGCAGGGGAGCUUGCCUGAACGGUGCAAUUCCGAGGGCAGGCUCCUAAUCAAAAAAUGGGCCUGCCUGAGCCAUGUAGUUCCAAGGGCAAGCUCCUAAUCAGGAAAAGGGGCCUGCCUGCACGGCGCAAUUCCGAGGACAGACCCCAGAAGACAGUGAGGCUCACCCGCUGACCUUGGUGGGGAACUGAAUUUUCCAGGAAACAAUUUCCAUUUUGCGUUGCUGAGUGGGGAUUGUUCCAUGGAUGA